AUUGAACGCUGGCGGCAGGCCUAACACAUGCAAGUCGAACGGCAGCACAGAAGAGUUUGCUCUUUGGGUGGCGAGUGGCGGACGGGUGAGUAAUGUCUGGGAAACUGCCCGAUGGAGGGGGAUAACUACUGGAAACGGUAGCUAAUACCGCAUAACGUCGCAAGACCAAAGUGGGGGACCUUCGGGCCUCACACCAUCGGAUGUGCCCAGAUGGGAUUAGCUAGUAGGUGGGGUAAUGGCUCACCUAGGCGACGAUCCCUAGCUGGUCUGAGAGGAUGACCGGCCACACUGGAACUGAGACACGGUCCAGACUCCUACGGGAGGCAGCAGUGGGGAAUAUUGCACAAUGGGGGCACGCCUGAUGCAGCCAUGCCGCGUGUAUGAAGAAGGCCUUCGGGUUGUAAAGUACUUUCGGCGGGGAGGAAGGCGAUGUGGUUAAUAACCGCGUCGAUUGACGUUACCCGCAGAAGAAGCACCGGCUAACUCCGUGCCAGCAGCCGCCGUAA
rnacentral:rRNA from 1 species